rnacentral:rRNA from 1 species
UACGAAGGGAGCUAGCGUUACCCGGAAUUAUUGGGCGUAAAGCGUGCGUAGGCGGCUAAGAAAGUUGGAAGUGAAAGCCCAGGGCUCAACCCUGGAAUUGCUUCCAGAACUCCUUAGCUUGAGUAUCAGAGGGGAUAGUGGAAUUCCUAGUGUAAAGGUGAAAUUCGUAGAUAUUAGGAGGAACACCGGUGGCGAAAGCGACUAUCUGGCUGAUUACUGACGCUGUUGCACGAAAGCGUGGGGAGCAAACAGG